AUUGAACGCUGGCGGCAUGCUUUACACAUGCAAGUCGAACGGCAGCGCGGGCUUCGUCCUGGCGGCGAGUGGCGAACGGGUGAGUAAUGCAUCGGAACGUGCCCAGUAGUGGGGGAUAGCCCGGCGAAAGCCGGAUUAAUACCGCAUACGACCUGAGGGUGAAAGCGGGGGACCGAAAGGCCUCGCGCUAUUGGAGCGGCCGAUGUCGGAUUAGCUAGUUGGUGGGGUAAAGGCUUACCAAGGCGACGAUCCGUAGCUGGUCUGAGAGGACGACCAGCCACACUGGGACUGAGACACGGCCCAGACUCCUACGGGAGGCAGCAGUGGGGAAUUUUGGACAAUGGGGGCAACCCUGAUCCAGCCAUGCCGCGUGCGGGAAGAAGGCCUUCGGGUUGUAAACCGCUUUUGUUCGGGAAGAAAUACUCUGGGCUAAUACCCCGGGGGGAUGACGGUACCGGAAGAAUAAGCACCGGCUAACUACGUG
rnacentral:rRNA from 1 species